CAUUCGAAGGAUUGCACCUCUGACAAUAAAACACUCCCCCAAUACUACACAGGAAUGCCAUCUUAAAACAAUGGGCAACAAGUCCCAAUUUGGAACUUAAAUCCACUGCGUUCUGACCAAGGGAGUGCUGCCAACUGAACCAGACUGCCGUCACCUCAAACCAAUUCAAACUAAAAAGUCUGUGGAGAACAAGUGAGCUGGAGAGACGUGAACAGAAUAUUCUGUGAAGCACUUUUGAGUUCUUACGAGCUCAACAUUGCAGAUCUGAAGACUAUUCUUGAUGGUGUUUGGAAAGCUGAGCGGUUGGUGGAGAACGAGUGAGUCGGAGAGAAAGAGAGUGAGAGAGAGAAGCUGGGGGAAUGACAAGCACAGGUGCAUUCAAGGAAUGGACCAUAGAGAAACAACACUCAAAGGAAACCAGAGCAUUGCAAAGAGGAGUCUGCUUUAACCUUGGCAGAGUUGCCACACCCUACCAGAUGGGCAAAGGCGCAGAGAGAAGGGGAGGCCAACAGGCAAACAGAUGGUCCUUCGGAUCUGACAACCCGAGUCUGUCCAGAAAUCCCCUAAUGAGUGGCGCUAUGGCUUUAAGAGGGCUUACAUAUGCUA